rnacentral:rRNA from 1 species
UCGCUGACGAGUGGCGGACGGGUGAGUAAUGUCUGGGAAACUGCCUGAUGGAGGGGGAUAACUACUGGAAACGGUAGCUAAUACCGCAUAACGUCGCAAGACCAAAGAGGGGGACCUUCGGGCCUCUUGCCAUCGGAUGUGCCCAGAUGGGAUUAGCUUGUUGGUGGGGUAACGGCUCACCAAGGCGACGAUCCCUAGCUGGUCUGAGAGGAUGACCAGCCACACUGGAACUGAGACACGGUCCAGACUCCUACGGGAGGCAGCAGUGGGGAAUAUUGCACAAUGGGCGCAAGCCUGAUGCAGCCAUGCCGCGUGUAUGAAGAAGGCCUUCGGGUUGUAAAGUACUUUCAGCGGGGAGGAAGGGAGUAAAGUUAAUACCUUUGCUCAUUGACGUUACCCGCAGAAGAAGCACCGGCUAACUCCGUGCCAGCAGCCGCGGUAAUACGGAGGGUGCAAGCGUUAAUCGGAAUUACUGGGCGUAAAGCGCACGCAGGCGGUUUGUUAAGUCAGAUGUGAAAUCCCCGGGCUCAACCUGGGAACUGCAUCUGAUACUGGCAAGCUUGAGUCUCGUAGAGGGGGGUAGAAUUCCAGGUGUAGCGGUGAAAUGCGUAGAGAUCUGGAGGAAUACCGGUGGCGAAAGCGGCCCCCUGGACGAAGACUGACGCUCAGUGCGAAAGCGUGGGGAGCAAAC